UUCACAAUCAUGUAGUAUUCUCAGAUGUGGGGAAUUUUACUGCCAAGUGAGAGACAAAUGCUGAAUCUUUGCCUUAUUCGAAACAAGAUUUUUUGCCAGCAAAGUUUCAAUGCCAAGAAAAUGUUGAAAAAAUAAGCUCUCAUCUCAAGUUUGCUACUGUGAAAGGAGACAUUUGCUAGCCAGGAGCACCGCGUUUAUGAGGUCUCAAAGAGGCAUCAAUAUCAUUAUCCUCAUUAUCCUUACUUUGCCCUUGAGGGUAAAUGAGGAGCUCUUUAUUGGACACCCAAAUUACCAUCUCUAAAGCUGUCUCUUAAAUACAGCCCAGUGGACAGACAGUACUCUCAAGACAAGACGGUCAGAUGCUGAGAUGAUCAUUCAGAAACAAAUACAGGAGAGAAUUUGGGACCAUCGAACCAUGGGCCUGGCAAAGACAAUACCAGCUGUGUGUUAAUCAAAUGCCAGUCAAAUCAGACUUCAUGGAAGAGACGUUCAAGACAAAUGGUGUGAUCUGAGGCUAAGGAAACGUCUGAUUGGCUCGCAGCCACAGAGCUCAAUGCUGGAAAAGAAGAUCCAACACAGCCAGCACUGCAACGGAAAUGACACGCGUAGCAAGUGUUUCUCCCAAAUUACACCUAAUGUCUUCAGGUGUUCCCCAGCAUCUUUUGUCUGCACACAGGACUUUCCUUUGCCAGACAGAGGAGAAAAGCAGUAUAAAGACCACACAGAUCACAGUAAUCCACCAGUCAUCUGCAACUCCUUCUCACUUCAAGUAUCAUUUCAUGGCUGGUGGAUUCUGUAGCUUGUGAACUUAUUGAAUAAACAUCCAGGGAUCAGAAUCUAUGGAACAAAAGCAAUCACUCAAGUGCAACUGUGUCCUCUGACUAAGGGAAACCUAAAUUAUAUGAAAGAAUUAGGACUAUACUUGUCAGCCUGUUUUUCUGUCUUUCCUUACGGAGUUUUUACUGAUUGUACUUUCUGAAUUUCAUGGUGCUAGACUGACCUUAAAUUUUUACAAU